rnacentral:rRNA from 1 species
ACUCAGUGAACUGAAACAUCUUAGUAGCUGAAGGAAGAGAAAGCAAACGCGAUUCCCGGAGUAGUGGCGAGCGAAAUGGGAACAGCCUAAACCAAUAUUUUAUAUUGGGGUCGUGGGAAAACAUGAUUUUUAAAAUUAAUAAAAAUUUAAACGAAACAGCUGAAUCCUGUACCAAAGAAGGUAAAAGUCCUGUAGUUGAAAAAUUCAAAUUAAUUUUUAACAACUAAGUUAGUUAUGUUUAUCCCGAGUAGCAUGGGACACGAGAAAUCCCGUGUGAAUCAGCGAGGACCACCUCGUAAGGCUAAAUACUCUUAGGUGACCGAUAGUGAAGUAGUACCGUGAGGGAAAGGUGAAAAGAACCCCUGUAGGGGAGUGAAAUAGAACAUGAAACCCUAUGCUGACAAGCAGUGGGAGGUACUUAAGUACUGACCGCGUACCUGUUGAAGAAUGGGCCGGCGACUUAGAAUGCGUGGCAAGGUUAAGGACAAUAAUCCGGAGCCAGAGCGAAAGCAAGUCUGAAUAGGGCGAGUUGAGUCACGUAUUCUAGACCCGAACCCGGGUGAUCUAACCAUGACCAGGAUGAAGCUUGGGUAAUACCACGUGAAGGUCCGAACCCACUGAUGUUGAAA